rnacentral:rRNA from 1 species
GAAAAGCUCGGGGAUGACUUGUGGGUAGCGGUGAAAUUCCAAUCGAGCCCGGAGAUAGCUGGUUCUCCCCGAAAUAGCUUUAGGGCUAGCCUCAAGGUGAGAGAUACGGAGGUAGAGCACUGAAUGUCCUAGGGGGUAUUGCACCUACCGAAGACUAUCAAACUCCGAAUGCCGUCAUCUUAUACUUGGGAGUCAGACUGUGGGUGAUAAGAUUCAUAGUCGAAAGGGCAACAGCCCAGAUCGUCAGCUAAGGUCCCUAAAUGUAAGUUAAGUGGUAAAGGAUGUGGGAUUGCACAGACAACCAGGAUGUUGGCUUAGAAGCAGCCACUCAUUCAAAGAGUGCGUAAUAGCUCACUGGUCGAGUGAUCCUGCGCCGAAGAUUUCCGGGGCUAAAACUUACUACCGAAGCUACGGCAUCAGUAAUGAUGGGUAGGGGAGCUUCCCAUACGGGUUGAAGCAUGACCGUAAGGACAUGUGGACAGUAUGGGAGUGAGAAUGUUGGCAUGAGUAGCGAGAUGUGGGUGAGAAUCCCACAGGCCGUAAACCCAAGGUUUCCAGGGGAAGGUUCGUCCGCCCUGGGUUAGUCGGGACCUAAGCUGAGGCCGAAAGGCGUAGGUGAUGGACAACAGGUUGAUAUUCCUGUACUACCGAUAACCGUUUGAGAGAAGGGAUGACACAGUAGGAUAAGCUAAGCACACUGUUGGUUAUGUGUGCCCAAGCAUUGAGGCAGUCAAAGUAGGCAAAUCCGCUUUGAUAAUGCUGGGAUGUGAUGGGGAGCGAAAUUUAGUAGCGAAGUAGCUGAUUUCACACUGUCAAGAAAAGUCUCUAUCGAGGUUAAAGGUACCCGUACCGCAAACCGACACAGGUGGGUGAGGAGAGUAUCCUAAGGCCAGCGAGAGAACUGUUGUUAAGGAACUCGGCAAAAUGACCCCGUAACUUAGGGAUAAGGGGUGCCACCAUCAGGUGGCCGCAGAGAAUAGGCCCAAGCGACUGUUUACCAAAAACAUAGGUUUCUGCUAAGUCGCAAGACGAUGUAUAGGAGCUGACGCCUGCCCGGUGCUGGAAGGUUAAGGGGAUCUGUUAGAGCAAUCGAAGCAGUGAACUUAAGCCCCAGUAAACGGCGGCCGUAACUAUAACGGUCCUAAGGUAGCGAAAUUCCUUGUCGGGUAAGUUCCGACCCGCACGAAAGGCGUAACGAUUUGGGCACUGUCUCAACAACAGACUCGGUGAAAUUGUAAUUCCGGUGAAGAUGCCGGAUACCUGCGACAGGACGGAAAGACCCCAUGGAGCUU